GUCUAAAGAAGAAAAAAAAGCUUAAAGAGUUGACAAGUCUAUGUUACGCUGUCACUGAAGCUGCUUUAAAGUCAAAUAAAAACUUAACCAAAAUGGAUGCCAUCCAACUUAUUGGGAAAGUAAUUAGGGAUUCUUCUGACCGAAUAAA
rnacentral:lncRNA from 1 species